CACACUCCAAGCCUGGCUUGAUGUUGGACGGUGCGGCCUCUUUCUUUGGGGUUGCACGUCUGGAACGUGUUGGCGUCCGGUCUGUCGUGACACCGCGAGCGUAGCAAGACAUGUUUAUUCAGUCAACGUCGCUCGGUUCGGGACACCAGUCGGACGGUCGAAUUCUUUGUUGAAAAGAGAAGAGUCAAUUUUUUCUUUUCCACAAUACACAAGA
rnacentral:misc_RNA from 1 species